CGGGCGGUCACGCUCGGGGAUAGGAGAAUCCCAUUGACGGCGCGUCAAAAUGGUUGCACACGCGGAUGGCUUGGCUCUCUCCGACGUAUCUGCCAUGUCAGCAUCAGCAAAGUUGUUGGUGUUACAGCCUCGUGCAGACUCACGUUCUCACGAGAACAGCCUACUUCUGUGGCGCAGUCCAACAGCAGCACUGGCCAUAUGGAUGUACUGAGGUGACAUUGGACAUUGACGAGCCAUUGAAAAACCAUAAUCUGUUUAAGCCCUGACGGACACGAUGCUUACUAAGACAGACUCUACGGCGCAAGGCAAUAAUGGGUGUGAAAUGAACAGGGAAAGCACAACAACUUAACUCUUUCAGCUGCCACAAAAGAAAAAAUAACACAGGCCUCGAACUGCCCCAGUGAAGUAAUUGAGGGGUGAAGCCCUACCAAGCUACAGUGUCGUACCUUUUUGCCUGUACCCCCUAAACCCUUGGUAAAAAAUAAAAAUUAUCAUAUGAGAUGCCAGCUCAGCAGGCUGGUGUCGCCUCCA